AACGAACGCUGGCGGCAUGCCUAACACAUGCAAGUCGAACGAGACCUUCGGGUCUAGUGGCGCACGGGUGCGUAACGCGUGGGAAUCUGCCCUUGGGUUCGGGAUAACAGUUGGAAACGACUGCUAAUACCGGAUGAUGACUUCGGUCCAAAGAUUUAUCGCCCAGGGAUGAGCCCGCGUCGGAUUAGCUAGUUGGUGAGGUAAGAGCUCACCAAGGCGACGAUCCGUAGCUGGUCUGAGAGGAUGAUCAGCCACACUGGGACUGAGACACGGCCCAGACUCCUACGGGAGGCAGCAGUGGGGAAUAUUGGACAAUGGGCGAAAGCCUGAUCCAGCAAUGCCGCGUGAGUAAUGAAGGCCUUAGGGUUGUAAAGCUCUUUUACCCGGGAUGAUAAUGACAGUACCGGGAGAAUAAGCCCCGGCUAACUCCGUG
rnacentral:rRNA from 1 species